GCUCAGUACGGCGAGUGAGCGGCAACAGCUCAAAUUUGAAAUCUGGCCGCAAGGUCCGAGUUGUAAUUUGCAGAGGAUGCUUUUGGCGAGGUGCCUUCCGAGUUCCCUGGAACGGGACGCCAUAGAGGGUGAGAGCCCCGUACGGUUGGACCACCGAGCCUCUGUAAAGCUCCUUCGACGAGUCGAGUAGUUUGGGAAUGCUGCUCUAAAUGGGAGGUGUACGUCUUCUAAAGCUAAAUACCGGCCAGAGACCGAUAGCGCACAAGUAGAGUGAUCGAAAGAUGAAAAGCACUUUGAAAAGAGGGUUAAAAAGUACGUGAAAUUGUUGAAAGGGAAGCGUUUAUGACCAGACUUGGGCUUGGUUGAACAUCCGGCGUUCUCGCCGGUGCACUCUGCCAGUCCAGGCCAGCAUCAGUUUGUCCCGGGGGAUAAAGGCGGUGGGAAUGUGGCUCCCCCGGGAGUGUUAUAGCCCGCCGUGCAAUGCCCUGGGACGGACUGAGGAACGCGCUUCGGCACGGAUGCUGGCGUAAUGGUCAUCAACGACCCGUCUUGAACACGGACCA
rnacentral:rRNA from 1 species